rnacentral:tRNA from 1 species
GAGGCAGUAGCUCAGUGGUAGAGCCCCCGCCUAGCAGACGGGGGGACCUGGGUUCCAUUUCCGGCUGCUUCC